CAGCCGCCGCGGGAAUACGAAGGUCCCGAGCGUUGUUCGGAAUCACUGGGCGUAAAGGGAGCGUAGGCGGCGUGGUAAGUCAGAUGUGAAAUCCCGGGGCUCAACCCCGGAACUGCAUCCGAUACUGCCAUGCUAGAGGAUUGGAGAGGUAGCUGGAAUUCUUGGUGUAGCAGUGAAAUGCGUGGAGAUCAAGAGGAACACUCGUGGCGAAAGCGAGCUACUGGACAAUAACUGACGCUGAGGCUCGAAGGCCAGGGUAGCGAAAGGGAUUAGAUACCCCUGUAGUCCCUGUCUCUUAUAA
rnacentral:rRNA from 1 species